CCGUAAAGCAUCGGGCUGCAAACUCAGCUGAGCUGAGCAGUUAAUGGGAGUGACCGGGGGUGGAUGGCGAUGGGUCACCAUAUACCUCUGGAACUCUGUUUGUACUACACAAGGGGCUUCUUGUCAGGUGCUGUGCUGCUGAUAUUGUACUGUGUUGCCUUGAAUUGAGCUUUCAGACAUGUCAGCUACAAGAGGCGACGGAGCUGGGGCUGAUCCCACAUUGCGUGGUGGUGACGCUGCAGACACAUUAGAGGAAAACAUAGCAGCUGAGGGUACAGGUUCUGGGGGUUCCCUACCCCCCAGUGGGACCGUAGCAACGGGGUGCAUGAUUACCCACCUUGGGCUAUUUUCUCUACGUUAUUGAAAACGCUGGUAGCUAGACUUACGCCCCCUAUGGGACCUCCUGUGCUGGUGCAACCGCUUAUGGUCCGUGUUGUUAAUCCGCCAUGGGUAGAUCAACUGUCCGCUUAGUUACAGCAAUUGAACCAAUCACUGACUAAACAGAAAUCUCACCCGCCUAAAACCAAGUGGGCUAUUACUUCCUCACAAUCCACCAACGUCCCAGACACCUCGUCUGAUGAGGAUGGCGUAUAUACUGACCCCACAGACACUGAUACUGAUAAUUCUGGUGGGGAAUCUGUUUCACAGGUGGAUGUUCCUGACUUGUUGGAGGCUAUCAGGAUAAUUCUUCGAAUUACUGAUGACCCAGAGCCUGAUACUGCCCCUAUGGUAAUUCCAUGAUUAUGUCAACCAGAACAUCUUUUCCUGAAAGUGGCCACAAUUAAUCUUGUAGUGAAAAUUUAUAUUCUCUGAAGUUAAUAUUUUGUAAAACCAAAGAUGAUAAACACCUGUUUUUCAUAAAUCAUAAGUUGGCAGCAUUGUUUCUUCAAGAUGGCAGUCUGUGGAAAGCUGUGGUGAUUUUGUGCCUUAUUUGACAACUGUUUAUUGAUACAUACAAAUAUUGCUAAACACCAGAUUAUAAGAAUUUUACCAGAGCCACAAUUUGAUAAUAGGCUUAAACUGUAUUUUCAAGAUGUUAGCUUUGAUAAUGAUGUAGUUUAAUUGGCAGAUCUAAAUGGUUUUUGCAAGUAUUUUGGAACAUGUUGUGUCUGUCACAAUUCCUAUGUCGUGUCUGUCACAGGAAUAAUGUUUAAUAAAAUAUUUACAAAUA